rnacentral:misc_RNA from 1 species
GUAUUGAUUGCGUGUGACCGCAAAAUAAAUAAAUAAAAAGAACAUUCUACACUGUAUCAAGUUUUAUGUGAAAACGCAAGCCCUCCUGCAAAGGGGGGCCCACGCGGUGAUGCACAAAAGGGGUGAGAUGGAUUUUGUGCGAGAGUGCUCGGGCGUGCACGACCUUUGGAGGUCAGCGACAGCCCUCGCACCUCGAUUGUACGAUAAUGAUCCUUCCGCAGGUUCACCUACGGAAA